rnacentral:rRNA from 1 species
GCACAACGCGAAGAACCUUACCCACCUUUGACAUGUACGGAAUCCUUUAGAGAUAGAGGAGUGCUCGAAAGAGAGCCGUAACACAGGUGCUGCAUGGCUGUCGUCAGCUCGUGUCGUGAGAUGUUGGGUUAAGUCCCGCAACGAGCGCAACCCUUGCCAUUAGUUGCUACAUUUAGUUGAGCACUCUAAUGGGACUGCCGGUGACAAACCGGAGGAAGGUGGGGAUGACGUCAAGUCCUCAUGGCCCUUAUAGGUGGGGCUACACACGUCAUACAAUGGCUGGUACAAAGGGUUGCCAACCCGCGAGGGGGAGCUAAUCCCAUAAAGCCAGUCGUAGUCCGGAUCGCAGUCUGCAACUCGACUGCGUGAAGUCGGAAUCGCUAGUAAUCGUGGAUCAGAAUGUCACGGUGAAUACGUUCCUGGGUCUUGUACACACCG